CAGUCGCCGCGGUAAAACGUAGGGUGCAAGCGUUAAUAGGAAUUACUGGGCGUAAAGCGUGCGCAGGCGGUUAUAUAAGACAGAUGUGAAAUCCCCGGGCUAAACCUGGGAACUGCAUUUGUGACUGUAUAGCUAGAGUACGGCAGAGGGGGAUGGAAUUCCGCGUGUAGCAGUGAAAUGCGUAGAUAUGCGGAGGAACACCGAUGGCGAAGGCAAUCCCCUGGGACUGUACUGACGCUCAUGCACGAAAGCGUGGGGAGCAAACAGGAUUAGAUACCCGUGUAGUCCCUGUCUCUUAUAA
rnacentral:rRNA from 1 species